rnacentral:rRNA from 1 species
GUCACGCCUAACGAUGUCAACUGGUUGUUGGGAGGGUUUCUUCUCAGUAACGAAGCUAACGCGUGAAGUUGACCGCCUGGGGAGUACGGCCGCAAGGUUGAAACUCAAAGGAAUUGACGGGACCCGCACAAGCGGUGGAUGAUGUGGUUUAAUUCGAUGCAACGCGAAAAACCUUAACCUACUCUUGACAUGUCAAGAAUUUCGCAGAGAUGUGGAAGUGCUCGAAAGAGAACUUGAACACAGGUGCUGCAUGGCUGUCGU